UUCAUGGAUGAAAUGAUGCAAUGUCUGAGAUUUGCUUCAUAAUGAUACAAAGUUGGGAAAUAGAUGAAUUCAUGAGUCCCAUGAAUUCAUAAUUACUGAAACUGUAUGAUGGGUACAUAAGUGUUGAUUUCAUUAUAAUGUCUACUUUAGUAUGUUAAAUUUGUCCUUACUCAAAGUUUUUUUUUUUUUUUUUGGUGAGGAACAUUUGCCCUAAGCUAACAUCUGUGCUAAUCUUCCUUUACUUUGUAUGUGGGAUGCCUCCACAGCAUGGCUGAUGAGAGGAGUAGGUCCACACCUGGACCAAAACCGAACCCAUGAACCUGGGCCACUGAAGUGGAGCGGCAGCUCCUGACCUAGAUAUACAUCUGCUCCAUCAGCUUUUCAAUUGUACUUGGAUCUUGGCAAAUAGCUUAACUUUGUCAAGGUUCAUUUUAUGGAAAAAUGCCUUUUUUUAAAUGCUUAUGGGACUAAUGACUAAGCCCCUCACCUGAGAUUGUUUUAAAUUGUUAGCUCAGAUUAGUACAGGUAUGCUGUGUUCUCCUGAACCUCUAAAGUCACUAAAAAAUAUCAUAUUGCCCACACAUAACAAAUUUAAAUUCUGCACUUAAAACAAACUUGUUUUCUCAGUUCUAAAUUUGUUUUCCUUUUUAUACUUACGGAAUUUUAUUUCAAGCUUUUCAUUAUAUCUAUAUUUGUUUGCAUCAUCCCUUCUCUUAUUCUUCCAUUUUAAAAAAUUCUGAAAAUAUUAAGACGUUGGUCUACCACUGCCAAGUGCAAGCGUUUUUAUUAUUUUAAGUUUUAAUACUAAAAUUCCACCUCUCCCCCUGACUUACAUAGUAAUCUAAAGCAAAGUUCAUGACAUCUAGAUCUCAGCACUUCUCUGAUAUUUACAGUAACCAUAAGUCGUCAUAAACGGUCAAGAACCAUAUAAUUGUGUAUUUAAAACAAAAAUAAAUACAGUCAUAUUUUUUAUGUCUCUAUAUGCACAGAUUAAAGGAUGGAGUUCAUUUUUCGCUCUUCUUUCCCAGCUUCCCGACUUCCAGGGCAGAUGUUCUCUAUCUUGCGAUGAGGGCGUCACAGAUUUCGCUCAGUGGUCUUCGCCAGCAUGCGGUUGCGCAUCUGGUCCUAACUAAGGCUUGCUCGGAAAGCCGCGGGUACACUAGUCCCACCUCCAGACCUCGGCCCUCCUCCUUCGCCACUUUGAGUUCUCUUCGGCCGGUGCCUGGCUUUUCAGUUCUUACUCUGUAAUCCUCAGCGCGGUUUCAGCGAGUCCUUAUUCGUGUGGUCGCCUUGGAUCACCUCCUUCUGUUUCUCAGAUUUCCCCAUGGACUUCAGGUCUGCAGUAAGUUGGCCUUUUUCUUUCAGAACCUUCUGGAUUUCUUUGGUAAGUUCCUCGUUUCCCAGCCUGCCCCAUGGCCUGGUAUCAGAUGCGCUCACCCGUCUGUGAUCUUCCCCAUCUCCAGAGCCUCCUCUUGGAGCUCCUCACACCUGCUCUUCGCCAACACGUGCUCCUCCUCUGUCGCCUCCGCCGCCACGUCCAGCUGCUUCUUGCGGUCCUGCAGCGUGUCCAUGGGCUCCCAGGCCGGGGACACGUGGGGCGGCCGGAGCUCCUAGGACAUCCGGUUCCGCCGGAUUCCUCAGGGGGACUUCCUGCCGAAGGGGCGUGACCGUGCGUGCCCAGCUGGAGGGCUCUGAGGGCUGUCUUUCAGCGGCUGGGCGAACUGGAGGUGUAACGACUGCGUCCUCCAGGCCGACUCCUUAAAUGGGGAGGCCCCAAACCGCUCCAGGGCCGCCCCUGGGCGCGGACCGACAGCCUCGGCCGCCCGAAGGUGCCGCUCCCUCAGGUCGGAGGCAGCUUGGACGGCUCCCUGCCAGGACUGCCCCCCGGGCCCGCCGGCGUCCCCACCACAGGAGUGUCAGCGUGAGGCUGCAGGUACCCGCGGCUCAGUGGGGAGUUCUCCAGGUCUGUUGGUUGACCGCACUCAGCUAGGUGGUCCUCUGUUGGAGUCUCUCAUACAGUUGCAGUCAUAUAUCGUCUGGGACUGAGUCUACUGAAGGCUUGACAGGGCUGGAUGUCCAAGAUGGCUCGCUCACAUGGCUGACAGUUGAUGCUGGCACUUGGUGGGGAAAUCAGACUCCCCUCACACAUGGGCUUUCCAUGUACCCAGGAUUUCUCAGAAAAUGACGCCGAGUUCCAAAAGAGAUUGUCCCAAGAGUAUGUCAAGGAAAGGAAGAAGUAGAAGCCCCCAGAUAAGUUGAGAGUUAUGUUCGGAACUGACACAGCAUUUCUUCAGCCGUAUUUUAUUGCUCAAGGCAGUUGUGAGUCCUGACUGCAUUCAAGGGUGUGGAGAAAUACACUCCACCUUUGUGGUAGAGUGGAGUUCACAUUGCAGAAGAGCCUGUGGAGUGGCAAAUGUUGUAGCUAUUUCUGGAAAAUGCAGUAGGUUACAGUCUGCUCUCUUACCAAAAUAAUUCACAUCUCUCCCACGAGCAAAAUACACUCACCUCCUCCCUUAACCUCGCUAAAGUCUUGUAAUCAUGGCAGCAAAUCCAUGAGUGCAAAAUCUCACAUCUAAACCAGGUUCAUGUGCUGAUUCCUCGGCAACGGUUUCCCAAGUAUUUCCUCUUGAUCAAAAACCUAUAAAAAAUGUUAUUUAUCCCCUACAGACCCAAUAUACAAUGUUUAUCUACAUAAGAUAUCCACAAUAGAUCCUCCUAUUCAAAAAUGCGCACGGGAUAGGAGGCUUAUGAACAGUCACUUAUCUAUUGCAAUUUUGGCACCCAGCACAGCACAUGCCCCCACUUCUUUGAUUAGGGUGUCAUCAUGCUCUCUGGCAGUAGUGCUCAGGGAACCUUGGCUCUGUCCUUUGAGUUAUCCUUCAUUCUCCAUAUGAAAUAGCCCGUGUUUGCAGUGGAAACGUCAGGGCCUCUUUCUGUAAUGAACUGUCUCUGUCCUUUUUAGUCCAAACUGAUAUAAUUCCUUUUGAAAGUCUAUGGAUUUCUUAUAUAUUGAAGUAUAAUCAGUUUCAUUAGACAGAAUGCACAGCUACCAUUUUUUCUAAGCCAACCCCCUUUCUACUUUGGCUUGACUGUAAAGCUGCAUGGGACAAAUAUUCUUGAGAUUCUUAGAAGCUUUUUUGUCUGGUUCAAAGAGUCUAUGAGACAUCACCUUAAAUUUCUGAAGCUUCAGGAAAGGGGCUAAAGUUCAUACCCUUGAUGUUGAUUUUGCUCUAAGACCGUGUUUUACUGCCAGCCCCCUGUGUUUGUUUCCCUCAAGUCCAUUUUUCACUUUGAGAACUUUUUGUGGUUUGGAAACACUGAGGGUGAGAAACUUCUGUUUUAUUCCUUCUGAAUUCUACUCAAAAUCUAAAUAGUCCCUUCUUUAACUCUUGUGUAAAUUAACUAUCUAUAUUUUAAUUUUAUUUAAUAUAUAAUUAAAUUGUCUUUAAUUCUAUCUAUAAAUUAUCAUAUGAAGCUAAAAGAAAUCAGGUGCCUGAAAAUCUCCUUCACUAGAGCCAUUGAUGUAUUAGGUACAUUUUCUUUUUUCCUGGUUGCCACAGACAGCGAUUUUACUAAACUUCCUACCAUUACAUAGAUGACUCAUCUUUUCUCCAUCAUCCAAUAACAAUCCUCACUGUCAUUUCAAUCACAUGAAUAGUUUUCUUAUGGCCCUUCAGGCCCCUACUCACUGCCUAGUCCUAAAGCCAAUGCCAUAUAUUUUAAGUUUUUAUUGUAGCAGUAUUCCACUUCUAGGUACCAAAUUCUGUCCUGGUCAUACAUUGGUGGGUCAUAAACUAUCAGAAAACAUAGUACUUUUAAACAACAAUUUAUUAUUAUCUCUCACAACUCUAGUUUGACUGGACUCUGCUAGGUGGCUCUCCCUUGGGGUCUUGCAUAUAGUUGGAGUCAAAUGUUGGCUGGGGUGGAAGUCAUCUGAAGUCUUGACUGGGCUGCACGUCCCAGAUGAUUCACUCACGUGGCUGGCAGUUAAUGUUGGCUGAAAGUUAAGCUGGUCCUGUUGACUGAAGGAAAGCUUCUCCAUCUGACUUUGGCUUUUCACAACAUGGCUACUGGUUCUGAGAGAGAGCAUCACAAAAAUAUGCAAGAAGUGUCAGGAAGCAGGAACUACCAGACCUGUUGAGGGCUGUGCCUAGAACGGGCAUAAUGUCGCUUCUGCCGUAUUCUAUUAGGCAGAGCAGUUAUAGGGCCUACCCGAAUUCAAGGUGGUGGAGAAAUUGACUUCACAUCUUGUUUGGAGAAUGCCACGGUCACAUUGGAGAAGAUCAUAGAGAUUGAGAGAUUUUAUUGCAGCUCUAUUUGGAAAAUACAAUCUCCACAUAUGGUAACCAGGCCAGGGCUGCUUGUUCAAGUGAGUGUUCUCUUUUAUUAUCUUAUACUUGCCCUCUUCCUCUGUGUUCACCUUCCUUGCCACCUCCUUUUCCAUCUUGUUCUGACAUAACAACCUUGCCAAAAGUUGUUGCUACAGUUUAGAAUGGAUGUGUGGGAGAUUCUAGACCUUGGGGAUGAAUUUUAUUUCCUAUAAUGUCUUUCUAGAUAAAUUUUCUCAAAUGGUGGCACAUGUCAUCUCAACGGAAUUGUAAAUUUUGAUAUUUGCAUGGCUUAGGGCAAAUAGGUCAUUUUAUUUGUUUUGGCUUUGGGUACUAGUCUACUGCAAAUAAGACAAAAGAAUGGUCUAUAUGUUCUGUGUCUGAUCCUUUCCAUCAUUAGUGCACUGUGUUGUGGUUUGGAACCAAAGGUCAAGUUAUAAUUAAUAUACUAUUUUGAUUCCUUUACUUCUUAGUGUGUAUUCCUCUGUUUGAGUCCUCUUGGGAAGUAGUGUGACAACCAGGACCAAGUUAGGACCCAGGUUAAUGUGGAUUUCCUGGUCAAAAGCCUGGUGACAUCUUAGGAAUAUCAUAUGAAUAUAUUCACAUAACUUGUAAAAAUCUUAGUAAAAGGCACAAAGAAAAGGAACCAAUCUCUGUGUAUUGGGCAAAAUAAUGACCCUUUGAAACAGUGUUCUGUAAGAAACAGGAGAACUUUAUAAAUCUUCAACUCAUAUCUAUAAUAAAAUUCAAAAGGACAUUUGAUGAGAUUGAAUAGGUUAAAAGCAUAAUCAUGAAAAAAAGUUUAAAAAAGAUUAUUGUAGAAGGAAAAUAUGAUUGACUAUUUUUGCUUAAGAAGCACACUGGAGGGAGUAAAUGUAAGAUAGAAUAGUAGGAAAACAAGUUUUGUAAAAUUGAGGGCAAAGUUAGGAAGUUGAAGAAUCAAGAAAGCAAAAUAUAAAAUACCACAAUAGAUUUCAUAUAUCCAAUAUGGUCUCAUUUAAUUAAUCUUUUCACUUAUUUAGUGAGCAUCUAUUAUUUAUAUCAAGCACUGUCCUAAUUGCUUAGAACACUGUCCUUUUUCUGAAACAGAACAAGGUCAAGCAAAUGAAACAGAAAAUUAAGUCAUUAUGGUAAAAGAUGAUGAAUUAUCUGAUUGGGGAAGUACAGAUUGCUAAGAAAAGAAUGAAUAAUGGCUGUAUGAAAGUACUCUUAAUAGGGUCAGAAAGUCGUCUUAGAGGAAGUGAUAUUUAAAAUGAGAUCUGAAAUAUGAGUAAUAGGUAAAGAAGGCAGUGAUGUGGAGAGAGAGUUUCAGAGGAUAUACCAUACAUAUAUCCACUUAGGUGCAUGUGGAGGAGAGAACAUGGCACAUUCAAAGAAAUGAAAGAAUUGCUGUUGAUAGUUGAACAGUUGAUCUAUUUCCUUCAGCUGUGUGAUUCAUUGGGUUAAGCUGAGUUAGGCCAGAUACUUGCAAACUCUGAGUCCAGCCCCAAAUUAAGAACCAACAGCACCGCCCAGUGUGUAGAGACCUACAUUUCUUAGUAUAACAGCACAAGAGGUGAGUGCACACAGUUAACUGAAAAUUCUUAGAUUUCACAGGGCUUGCCCACAGCCUUAGAAUGGCCAUAUACCUUCUUGCUACUUAUUUUUGACCAUAGGUCUCAUUUCUUGGAUCUGUGGCAUCUUCUAUUACUUUGAUUAGAAUAAAUUCAAAACAAAUGCUUUCCAAAAUUAACUUUAAAUUAAUUUAAAAUUUUCUGUUAGGUAUCUUUACAUCAAAUCUGUCCUUUUCUCUGAACCUUGAACAUUCUGUUGUCCAUUUUUUACUUAGUGAGGCACUGCUUGCAUAUUUUAACAUAAAUUCUAGCAAUCUGGGAAUUUUGUAGACAGAAAAUACAUUAAUCUUGUGUAAGACACAUGUAUCAUGAAAGAGUUUAGAAACUGUACCUCUAACAUACUCUUCAUGAAAAAUGUCUCGAAAAAGAAGGCAAACAAAUAGAGUGGGAGCUAAUUAGAUGAAGUUCAUUGUCCUUAUACCACAUGGUAGAAGUAUUGUGAAUAAAGUAAUUGAAAGGCAGCAAGGAUGACUGGAGCUAGGAGAGAAGGAAAUAGUAUGGCAAGAAAUAGACCUAAAGAGAUGGGAAUGGUAAAUUAGAUCAGACCCUGGUAAACUCUUUCAUAAUACACGUGUCUUACCUUGGUGACAAACUUCAUGCUUCACUUCUUUCUUUAGCUUGGAGAAAUAUGUACAUGGAAAAGGAGGAAAACUCAGGUUUCCCUGUGUCUGUUAGAUAUAGCAUCUGACACUAAAUCUGGAUUACGAAAAAUGCCAUAUGGAGACCAAGUGAUAAAUGGAAUUUUGGUGUACGUUUAUCUCACAGUGGGUUCAGUAGGUCUGCAGACCUGCUUUGUCAUUAUUUACCUAUUUCUAAUUUUUUUGGAAUGAGACAGCUCUACCUAGCAUCUGGAAGAAGCCUCGCAGUGAUACUUGAUCAUUGAAAUAAGGCAUAUUACGGCAAGAAGGGCCAGGUGGAAGACCCUAAAACUGCAGUCUUUCCCCUGCCAAUAGGAUAGUAAAUCAGAAGCAACACCACAUUCCUGGAAGAAUUGCAAAUAAUGCCAUUAAAGAUUUAAAAGGUCCAGGGAUGGUAGAACCUAUUAUUUUCCCACCUUUAGACAUAGAGUGGGACAGACAAAGGUAGACAGUAAAUCUGAUUUGGGGGCAUAGACUGAAAAUGACCAACAAUAUCUACCAAAUAACUACUAUACCUAGCUUAUAUGCUACACUGAGAAAUCUAAAACAAUUACCAACAUUAUGGCUAGACUUCAUCUUAGUGAGAGACUGGAAUAUCAUUGAGUGAUAUUAAAUCUUCAUAUAAAAUAAUUCCCAAAAAGUAGAGAAU
ensembl:lncRNA